UGAUCCCAGGUUUCCAGCACCAGAUGA
rnacentral:piRNA from 1 species